GGCCUUAUAAAUCAUCACCACAAGUUCAUCAUCUCAUUUGCAGAGGAUGAAGCGGGAGAACUUUAUUUUCUGGCAACCUCCUACCCAAAUGCAAUGUCUCCCUUUGGCACGCUUUACAAAUUCAUGGAUCCAUCCAGGAGGGCACCUCCAGGAAAAUGCAAAUGCAAGCCACUUCCUGUAAAGCUCAGAGGGAAGAAAGUGCCAUUCAUACCUAGAGAA